CCUACGGGUGGCAGCAGUGAGGAAUAUUGGUCAAUGGGCGGGAGCCUGAACCAGCCAAGUCGCGUGAGGGACGACGGUCCUAUGGAUUGUAAACCUCUUUUGUCGGGGAACAAAGGCGCCCACGGGUGGGCGGAUGAGUGUACCCGAAGAAAAAGCAUCGGCUAACUCCGUGCCAGCAGCCGCGGUAAUACGGAGGAUGCGAGCGUUAUCCGGAUUUAUUGGGUGUAAAGGGAGCGCAGGCGGCCUGCCAAGUCUGGUGUGAAAACCCGGGGCCCAACCCCGGGCCUGCAUUGGAAACUGGCGGGCUGGAGUGUCGGAGGGGCAGGCGGAAUUCCUAGUGUAGCGGUGAAAUGCGUAGAUAUUAGGAGGAACACCGGUGGCGAAGGCGGCCUGCUGGACGAUGACUGACGCUGAGGCUCGAAAGCGUGGGGAGCAAACAGGAUUAGAUACCCGUGUAGUC
rnacentral:rRNA from 1 species